UACGUAGGGUGCAAGCGUUGCUCGGAAUUACUGGGCGUAAAGCGCACGCAGGCGGCUGUGUACGUCGGAUGUGAAAGCCCUGGGCUCAACCCGGGAACUGCAUUCGAAACUGCACAGCUUGAGUUCGGGAGAGGGUGGUGGAAUUCCUGGUGUAGAGGUGAAAUUCGUUGAUAUCAGGAGGAACACCGGCGGCGAAGGCGGCCACCUGGUCCGAGACUGACGCUCAUGUGCGAAAGCGUGGGUAGCAAACAGG
rnacentral:rRNA from 1 species